UUCCCACAGGCAGCUGUCAACAUCUGAACCUGCAAGUGAGGCCAGCCAUGUAGUUGGGGGUGGGAGCUUGGCCCACAAUGACUCAGCUCCCUCGGGA
ensembl:misc_RNA